AUGCCAUGCUAUUCCAUCCCAUCCCAUUCCAUCCCAUGUCAUGGCUGUUCUAUCUCAUCCCAUCCCAUUCCAUCCCAUACCAUGCUAUCCCAUUCCAUGCCAUUCCAUGACGUCCCAUCUCAUCCCAUACAAUGCUAUUCCAUCCCAUCCUAUUCCAUCCCAUCCCAUGCUACUCCAUCCCAUUCCAUGCCAUUCUAUCCCACGCCAUGGCUGUCCCAUCCCACACCAUGCCAUUCCAUCCCAUGCCAUGCUAUUCCAUCCCAUCCCAUCCUAUUCCAUCCCAUCGCAUGCUAUUCCAUCCCAUGCCAUGCUAUUCCAUCCCAUGCCAUUCCGUCCCAUGCCAUAGCUGUUUCAUCCCAUCCCAUCCCAUCCCAUCCCAUCCCAUCCCAUCCCAUCCCAUGCCAUGCCAUGCCAUGCCAUGCCAUACUAUGCCAUACUGUACCUUACUAUCCCAUGCCAUGCCAUGCCAUGCCAUUCCAUUCCAUCCCAUACCAUGCUGUUCCAUCCCAUACAAUGCUAUUCCAUCCCAUACAGUGCUAUUCCAUCCCAUGCCAUGGCGUUCCAUCCCAUCCCAUCCCAUCCCAUCCCAUCCCAUCCCAUCCCAUCCCAUCCCAUCCCAUCCCAUGCCAUGCCAUGCUAUGGCUGUCCCAUCCCAUCCCAUGCCAUGACGUGCAAUUCCAUCCCAUGCUAUGGCUGUUCCAUACCAUACCAUACCAUACCAUACCAUACCAUACCAUACCAUACCAUACCAUACCAUACCAUACCACACCACACCAUCCCAUCCCAUCCCAUCCCAUCCCAUUCCAUCCCAUGCCAUGGCUCUCCCAUCCCAUCCCAUCCCAUCCCAUCCCAUCCAAUUCCCAUCCCAUCCCAAUUCCCAUUCUAUUCCAUCCCAUCCCAUCCCAUCCCAUGCCACGCCAUGUACCACCCACACACAUGCCCCCCCACGCCCCCCCCGCUGCUCUCUGGCUGCCUUCUCCCACCCCGUCCAUCACCCCUUUAAUCCCAAGCUGUGUCCCCAUUGAGGGUACAGCCACCAGAGCCCUGUCCCCAUCCCACAGCGUUGAGCCGGAGCUGGGCUGUCAGCCAGCCUGGGGGCUCUGA
rnacentral:lncRNA from 1 species